UAUGGCAUUUAUGCUCUUAAUAAAAAGGUGUUUUUCCUUAAAUCAUGUUUUUCAGAUGUCAGGGAAUUCUGGCUUAAAAAAUGCAUGCAGGGCGCUAAUCAAUCGCUGGCUCCGCCCCUCAUGUUGACUACCAGCUUACGAGCACUUCGUUCAGUACCCGUCCAAUGAAGCGGAGCGCCGUGCGCCCCUCUGCUCACACAAAGCUCUCACAGCCGUUACCGCGGAACAGGUCACAGGUCACAGGGCCGCAGAUACAGGUCACAGGUCACAGGGCCGCGGAUACAGGUCACAGGGCCGCGGAUACAGGUCACAGGUCACAGGGCCGCGGAUACAGGUCACAGGGCCGCGGAUACAGGUCACAGGUCACAGGGCCGCGGAUACAGGUCGCAGGUCACAGGGCCGCAGAUACAGGUCACAGGGUCACAGGUCACAGGGCCACGUUGUCGCUUGUGGACGCUGUUAGCUGCAAGCGGACAUCUUUGCGUUGGAGGCUGAGUGUGCAGCCUGUGUGCUGCAGCGAUAGGGGACCAAUCGCACGCCGCUCAUUUUAUUGACCAGCGCCUGAACGCACCACCUGAAUAUUUUUUUCUCAUCGGAGCAUCGGAGUAUUUGGUUAAUAACGUGAACACUGUUGUAAACGAGGACCUGCAGAUGAGUUUAGAAGACAACACAAUGACCUACGAGGCCGGACUGAGGGAGACGUCCUCUGCUGACGUCCUACCUGUCCUGUCUCACCUCCUCCUCCUCUUCUGUAUUCUGACUUCCAACAUCCACACUGAUCCUCCGCUCGGCCUGGUGGCCCGUCAGCUCAACGGGGGAGGGGCUCUUCAGGUGUGUGUGUGUGUGUGUGUGUGUGUGUGUGCGUGUGCGUGCGUGUGUGUAUGCGUGUGCGUGUGUGUGCGGGUUGUGGUGACUGCAGGCUGCUAGUAAUUGAAAAGCCAGAACGCCAGCAACCGUGACCCCUGUGACCUCCUAUUGAGAGAACAACCAUUGAUUUCUGCACAGAGGGAGCAAGUGCUAAAGAAAAGGAUACAUUAUAGGAAAGGAACAGAGCAAGAAGAAGGAAAGAGGGAAGCUGAAUACAAAGGAAGCAUUAGAGGUAAACUGGGAAGUACGAAGGACUGGGAAAGAUUUCAGACAAAGGAAUGAAUCAGGAGGCUGUCAGAGAGGCGAAGUAUAGAACAUGUGGGAUAAAAAAGUACAGGAGGGAUGAUAGAUGAGGAGGGAGAAAAAGAAUAAACAAUAAUUAAAAAGCUUGAUGUAAAAUAAACCGCAGGAUAGAAAGGAGGAAGCAAAGGGAAGAUCUGGGCAUGCAUGCUAACUAAAGCCUAGUUUAUGCUUCUGCAUUUUCAGAGCGAAGACCCCUUUGCGUGUCGCUCGCGUGUCCCUCGCGUGUC
ensembl:lncRNA